rnacentral:rRNA from 1 species
AUUGAACGCUGGCGGCAUGCCUUACACAUGCAAGUCGAACGGUAACGGGUCCUUCGGGAUGCCGACGAGUGGCGAACGGGUGAGUAAUAUAUCGGAACGUGCCCAGUAGUGGGGGAUAACUGCUCGAAAGAGCAGCUAAUACCGCAUGCGACCUGAGGGUGAAAGGGGGGGAUCGCAAGACCUCUCGCUAUUGGAGCGGCCGAUAUCAGAUUAGCUAGUUGGUGGGGUAAAGGCCUACCAAGGCAACGAUCUGUAGUUGGUCUGAGAGGACGACCAGCCACACUGGGACUGAGACACGGCCCAGACUCCUACGGGAGGCAGCAGUGGGGAAUUUUGGACAAUGGGCGCAAGCCUGAUCCAGCGACGCCGCGUGGGUGAAGAAGGCCUGCGGGUUGUAAAGCCCUUUCGGUAGGGACGAAAGCUCUUGCUCCAACAAAGCAGGAGGUUGACUUAACCUACAUAAGAAGCACCGGCUAACUCUGUGCCAGCCGCCGCAGUAA